GGAAUGCUUCCACAAUGGACGCAAGUCUGAUGGAGCAACGCCGCGUGAGUGAAGAAGGUUUUCGGACCGUAAAGCUCUGUUGUUGGUGAAGAAGGAUAGAGGUAGUAACUGGCCUUUAUUUGACGGUAAUCAACCAGAAAGUCACGGCUAACUACGUGCCAGCAGCCGCGGUAAUCGUAGGUGGCAAGCGUUGUCCGGAUUUAUUGGGCGUAAAGCGAGCGCAGGCGGAAGAAUAAGUCUGAUGUGAAAGCCCUCGGCUUAACCGAGGAAUUGCAUCGGAAACUGUUUUUCUUGAGUGCAGAAGAGGAGAGUAGAACUCCAUGUGUAGCGGUGGAAUGCGUAGAUAUAUGGAAGAAUACCAGUGGCGAAGGCGGCUCUCUGGUCUGCAACUGACGCUGAGGCUCGAAAGCAUGGGUAGCGAACAGGAUUAGAUACCCUGGUAGUCCAUGCCGUAAACGAUGAGUGCUAAGUGUUGGGAGGCUUCCGCCUCUCAGUGCUGCAGCUAACGCAUUAAGCACUCCGCCUGGGGGAGUACGACCGCAAGG
rnacentral:rRNA from 1 species